GGCGCGAAGGCGGCAGUUAUAAUUCUGGGAUUAAUUGCGCGGCGACAAAUUGGACGCGCGGACGAGUGUUAGGUCUACACUCGAGAAGGAAAAGCGGACUUAAUGAAGAAAGCCGUCGACAGCGGACAGAUGGGUCUAUUGCUGGCAAACGGUUAUUUCCAUCAGUAGAGACGGUGCCCUUCCACUCUCUGACGUCUUCCGGGGAGGAGCCUGUUUCCCGACGGAAAAUUAGAGCCCCGGAAUAAUUAUUAAGGGUUAUUAACCAGGAGAGGAGGAAGAAGGGCAGCCAAUUAGCCGAGAAUUACUCGGUCAACUGCUUCAGAUAUACCACGGUCCGUUCUGGCACCGCCAUCCUCUGUGACAUGUUUAAGAUUAGAUUAGUUUUAUUUAUGUCGCCGAAAUUCGCAGGGGACAUUUUUGGCAGCCACCAGUUCAGAGUUCAUUACGGCCAAGCCAAUACCUGUUAUGAGAUCAACCGGAAGACUGAAAGAUGGAAAUCAACGCACCGAUCACCGAUUCCUCCUGAAAAAUAUGGGACUGUGACGUCAUUAAAAACAGCGUCAAGGUGCCCAACAUGAGUCUUCCGGGUUCUCUACCUUAUGAAACAAGUUACGAAAUGUUUGCAAAUGGUACAGUACAACCAUGUUUGUAAUAUUCAAAUGAAUUAUUACCAUGGUUACGUCAUCAAACGUUUGGAUCUUGUAAAAUUUUAUUAAACUAUUAAUAAAUUUAAUUUAAUUACCAGG
rnacentral:lncRNA from 1 species